ACGCGAACACUCCUACGGGAGGCAGCAGUGGGGAAUCUUGCACAAUGGGCGACAGCCUGAUGCAGCAAUGCCGCGUGAGGGAAGACGGCCUUCGGGUUGUAAACCUCUUUCAGUUGGGAUGAAGGUUGUCCGGUGAAUAGCCGUACAACUGACCGUACCUUCAGAAGAAGCUCCGGCUAACUACGUGCCAGCAGCCGCGGUAAUACGUGAGGGGGCGAGCGUUGUCCGGAAUCAUUGGGCGUAAAGCGCGUGUAGGCGGUUUCGUAAGUCUGCUGUGAAAGUCGGAGGCUCAACCUUCGAAAGCCGGUGGAUACUGCGGAACUUGAGUCCGGAAGAGGAGAGUGGAAUUCCUGGUGUAGCGGUGAAAUGCGCAGAUAUCAGGAGGAACACCAACGGCGAAGGCAGCUCUCUGGGACGGUACUGACGCUCAGAUGCGAAAGCGUGGGGAGCAAACAGGAUUAGAUACCCUGGUAG
rnacentral:rRNA from 1 species